rnacentral:rRNA from 1 species
UGGGGAAUAUUGGACAAUGGGCGCAAGCCUGAUCCAGCCAUGCCGCGUGGAUGAUGAAGGCCUUAGGGUUGUAAAAUCCUUUCGCCGAGGACGAUAAUGACGGUACUCGGAGAAGAAGCUCCGGCUAACUUCGUGCCAGCAGCCGCGGUAAUACGAAGGGGGCUAGCGUUGUUCGGAUUUACUGGGCGUAAAGCGCGUGUAGGCGGGUCGUUAAGUUGGGGGUGAAAUCCCGAGGCUCAACCUCGGAACUGCCUUCAAAACUGGCGACCUGGACCUAAGUAGAGGCAAGUGGAAUUGCGAGUGUAGAGGUGAAAUUCGUAGAUAUUCGCAGGAACACCAGUGGCGAAGGCGACUUGCUGGACUUAUGGUGACGCUGAGACGCGAAAGCGUGGGGAGCAAACAGGAUUAGAUACCCCUGUAGUCCCUGAGCGGGCUGGCAAGGCGCAU